rnacentral:rRNA from 1 species
GACGAACGCUGGCGGCGUGCUUAACACAUGCAAGUCGAGCGAGGCCCCUCCUUCGGGAGGGUGUCCUAGCGGCGAACGGGUGAGUAACACGUGGGCAACCUGCCCUCAGCUCUGGGAUAACUCCGGGAAACCGGGGCUAAUACCGGAUACGACCUCCACGGGCAUCUGCGGAGGUGGAAAGUUUUUCGGCUGAGGAUGGGCCCGCGGCCUAUCAGCUAGUUGGUGGGGUAGUGGCCCGCCAAGGCGACGACGGGUAGCCGGCCUGAGAGGGCGACCGGCCACACUGGGACUGAGACACGGCCCAGACUCCUACGGGAGGCAGCAGUGGGGAAUAUUGCGCAAUGGGCGAAAGCCUGACGCAGCGACGCCGCGUGAGGGACGAAGGCCUUCGGGUUGUAAACCUCUUUCAGCAGGGACGAAGCGAAAGUGACGGUACCUGCAGAAGAAGCACCGGCCAACUACGUG